UACGUAGGGAGCAAGCGUUGUCCGGAAUCAUUGGGCGUAAAGCGCGCGUAGGCGGCCUCAUAAGUCCGUUGUGAAAGUCAAAGGCUCAACCUUUGAAAGCCGAUGGAUACUGUGAGGCUAGAGUCCGGAAGAGGCGAGUGGAAUUCCGGGUGUAGCGGUGGAAUGCGUAGAGAUCCGGAAGAACACCGGAGGCGAAGGCGG
rnacentral:rRNA from 1 species